GCCUGGGUGGCUCAGUUGGUUGAGCAUCUGACUACAGCUCAGGUCAUGAUCCCAUAGAUCCUGGGUUCAAGACCCAUGUCAGGCU
rnacentral:tRNA from 1 species